rnacentral:rRNA from 1 species
AUGAAUAAAACCUUCUAUGGUCAUACACCCAAUGGUGAUGGUUCAUUGAAUCUUGAUCAUAGUGAUACACAUAUUCAUAAUGUUGAUGCCAAAAGAUGCAAAGUUAAUAAUGAUAGUGCAACUUAUUUGUUGCACUGUCGUUUGGGUCAUAUCGGUGUAAAGCGCAUGAAGAAACUCCAUAAAGAUGGAUUUUCAGAAUCACUUGGUUAUGAAUCAUUUGAUGCUUGCGAACCGUGCCUUUUUGGCAAGAUGACUAAAACUCCGUUCUCCGGAACAAUGGAACGAGCUACUAACUUGUUGGAAAUAGUACAUACCGAUGUAUGUGGUCGAAUGAGUGUUGAUGCUCGUGGCUGGUAUCGUUAUUUUCUAACCUUCACAGAUGAUUUGAGCAGAUAUGUGUAUAUCUAG